AUGGAACAGGCGUCAGUGAAAAAUGUCUCCAACCUUGAAACCAGCGACAUGUGGACCGGACUGAACGACCUGGCGCUUCCCGGCACGUUGGUGUGGUCGGACCGCCACGAGGUGACCUUCACCCACUGGGCCGCGGGAGAACCCAUCCAGCGCGUCGGCCUCGACCAACACUGCGUGGCUGUGUUACGGCAGACUGGAAGAUGGAAGCGAAUGUCCUGCGCCCAAGUCAACAGCUUCAUGUGCAAAAUGCCCACAGCGCAUUUUCCAAUUGCCUCACCGGAGCCACAGGUGGCGCCGUAGAGUUCACCUGGCUGUGUCAGUUCCCAACGGCCCAAGAGCCCAUGGAGAAAAUUGACAAUGCAAGAAAGUCAUCAUCGAAGACGGAGAAUUUAAUGCCCUUCUGACUCUGCUCGAAAUAAAUAGUAUCAGCAUUGUAACAAAA